rnacentral:rRNA from 1 species
CAGGCCUAACACAUGCAAGUCGAACGGAAAGGCUCCAGCUUGCUGGAGUACUCGAGUGGCGAACGGGUGAGUAACACGUGGGUAAUCUGCCCUGCACUCUGGGAUAAGCCUGGGAAACUGGGUCUAAUACUGGAUAUGACCUUUCUCCUUAUGGGGUUUGGUGGAAAGUUUUUCGGUGUAGGAUGAGCCCGCGGCCUAUCAGCUUGUUGGUGGGGUGAUGGCCUACCAAGGCGACGACGGGUAGCCGGCCUGAGAGGGUGAUCGGCCACAUUGGGACUGAGAUACGGCCCAGACUCCUACGGGAGGCAGCAGUGGGGAAUAUUGCACAAUGGGCGGAAGCCUGAUGCAGCGACGCCGCGUGAGGGAUGACGGCCUUCGGGUUGUAAACCUCUUUCAGCAGGGACGAAGCGUAAGUGACGGUACCUGCAGAAGAAGCACCGGCUAACUAUGUGCCAGCAGCCGCGGUAAUACGUAGGGUGCGAGCGUUGUCCGGAAUUACUGGGCGUAAAGAGCUCGUAGGCGGUUUGUCACGUCGUCUGUGAAAUCCUAGGGCUUAACCCUGGACGUGCAGGCGAUACGGGCUGACUUGAGUACUACAGGGGAGACUGGAAUUUCUGGUGUAGCGGUGGAAUGCACAGAUAUCAGGAAGAACACCGAUGGCGAAGGCAGGUCUCUGGGUAGUAACUGACGCUGAGGAGCGAAAGCAUGGGUAGCGAACAGGAUUAGAUACCCUGGUAGUCCAUGCCGUAA